rnacentral:rRNA from 1 species
UGGGGAAUAUUGGGCAAUGGGCGCAAGCCUGACCCAGCAACGCCGCGUGAAGGAAGAAGGCCCUCGGGUUGUAAACUUCUUUUGACAGGGACGAAACAAAUGACGGUACCUGUCGAAUAAGCCACGGCUAACUACGUGCCAGCAGCCGCGGUAAUACGUAGGUGGCAAGCGUUAUCCGGAUUUACUGGGUGUAAAGGGCGUGUAGGCGGGCUGGCAAGUCAGAUGUGAAAACCAUGGGCUCAACCCAUGGCCUGCAUUUGAAACUGUUGGUCUUGAGUGCUGGAGAGGCAAUCGGAAUUCCGUGUGUAGCGGUGAAAUGCGUAGAUAUACGAAGGAACACCAGUGGCGAAGGCGGAUUGCUGGACAGUAACUGACGCUGAGGCGCGAAAGCGUGGGGAGCAAACA